rnacentral:rRNA from 1 species
CAUCGGGAACAUGUCCAUUCGUGGGGGAUAGCCCGGCGAAAGCCGGAUUAAUACCGCAUACGCCCCGAGGGGGAAAGCGGGGGACUUCGCAAGAGGCCUCGCGCGAUUGGGUUGGCCGAUGUCCGAUUAGCUAGUUGGUGAGGUAAAGGCUCACCAAGGCGAUGAUCGGUAGCUGGUCUGAGAGGAUGAUCAGCCACACUGGGACUGAGACACGGCCCAG